CAUUACACAAAUAUGAAGGCGGGCUGGAACCUCUCGGGGUUACAGCCUUGCUGAAUUAUUCACCCUUGUCUUUUGCGUACUUCUUGUUUCCUUGGUGGGUUCGCCCACCACUAGGACAAACAUAAACCUUUUGUAAUUGCAAUCAGCGUCAGUAACAAAUUAAUAAUUACAACUUUCAACAACGGAUCUCUUGGUUCUGGCAUCGAUGAAGAACGCAGCGAAAUGCGAUAAGUAGUGUGAAUUGCAGAAUUCAGUGAAUCAUCGAAUCUUUGAACGCACAUUGCGCCCUUUGGUAUUCCAAAGGGCAUGCCUGUUCGAGCGUCAUUUGUACCCUCAAGCUUUGCUUGGUGUUGGGCGUCUUGUCUCUAGCUUUGCUGGAGACUCGCCUUAAAGUAAUUGGCAGCCGGCCUACUGGUUUCGGAGCGCAGCACAAGUCGCACUCUCUAUCAGCAAAGGUCUAGCAUCCAUUAAGCCUUUUUUCAACUUUUGACCUCGGAUCAGGUAGGGAUACCCGCUGAACUUAAGCAUAUCAAUA
rnacentral:rRNA from 1 species